CACACACACACACACACACACACACACACACACACACACACACACACACACACACACAGACACACACACACAAAGCACUCGACACACUCAUGUGUCUCAUUUCACACCAGUGAACCUUCCUUCCUCCCUCAUUGUGUCUCCUUUAGACACACACAUACACUCUCAUUUGUUUCACUAUACAUCACAGGACCCGGCUGCUCGCUCCCCCUGCAGGUCCAAUUACUAAUCAUUGAUUAGGCCAGCUGUGUGUGUGUGUGGCCACAAGGAGUUUAAUCAGGCACGUUGCCUCACUAAUGAAAGAUCGGCCUCCUCUAUCGACCCCUCAGGAACUUCACUGGGGCGACUCCUCUGGUCUUCUUCAUCGUGACCUUCACAUAGACUCUAAACCAUUGUUGCUCCACGUGUCUCAGUUAUCAGUUUGAGGUCUUCUGGAUCACAACAGCAUACGGACUCCAUCAGCCCGUCAUUGGUCUUCUCUGCAGAGCUUUAAUGGAGCUGCAGUGUGUGUUUGUUGGUUAGUAAACAACAUGGCCGACUUAAUAAACAGAUGUUGUCUUU